AAAGAAAUACUGAGGUUUGAAAUCUAUCACAUGAUGGGUCUUUUGAGUAUAAAAUAUAAGAAUGAAUGGUCAACUCACUAAGUAAGGAAGCAAAGAAAACUGAGGUUUACUUUUAAUCAGAAAACUUACAUUGUCACAACGAAGCCAGAUUUCAUUCAUGCCCUCUGCAACUGGAAUGAGGAGUUUAAUGUUAAAUUUUUGGCCUGAUAUAUUCACAUC